rnacentral:rRNA from 1 species
UUCUUUGCUGACGAGUGGCGGACGGGUGAGUAAUGUCUGGGAAACUGCCUGAUGGAGGGGGAUAACUACUGGAAACGGUAGCUAAUACCGCAUAACGUCGCAAGACCAAAGAGGGGGACCUUCGGGCCUCUUGCCAUCGGAUGUGCCCAGAUGGGAUUAGCUAGUAGGUGGGGUAACGGCUCACCUAGGCGACGAUCCCUAGCUGGUCUGAGAGGAUGACCAGCCACACUGGAACUGAGACACGGUCCAGACUCCUACGGGAGGCAGCAGUGGGGAAUAUUGCACAAUGGGCGCAAGCCUGAUGCAGCCAUGCCGCGUGUAUGAAGAAGGCCUUCGGGUUGUAAAGUACUUUCAGCGGGGAGGAAGGGAGUAAAGUUAAUACCUUUGCUCAUUGACGUUACCCGCAGAAGAAGCACCGGCUAACUCCGUGCCAGCAGCCGCGGUAAUACGGAGGGUGCAAGCGUAAUCGGAAUUACUGGGCGUAAAGCGCACGCAGGCGGUUUGUUAAGUCAGAUGUGAAAUCCCCCCGG